AAAAUAAAUCCGAUCUUGGAAGAAAAAAAUGCAUCAAACAUUUUUAUUUAGAACCAGCGAGCAGUCGAAUGAGACAAUACAGUCAUACAAGGGUAUGGCAACACUCAAUUUUCAAACUUUGCAAUGUUAAGUUUAUUUUAAUUCUCCGAUAAAAAAAAAGUUCAUAUGUCAAAUAAAACUUAUAAUACUAAGCCAGGCUAACUCGUUCAUUGCCCAGCCUUAAAAGUGGCACAUAAUGGACUAAUAAAGAGCCUACAAGUGACAUAAUUACCGAGAAGCUUAACACCACAAGAUUCAAAAGUCUUCUUUACUUUAAACUUCGUGUCAAGUCAAAACCAGGCAAACAAAUUGAAACGGAGGGAGCAUUAUAUUAAUUUGAAUAGUGAAUCUACUGAACAUGAGCAGAUGGGAAUUCCAAGGUCAACAGAGGCAACGUAUGACAAUUUGUUGGAGCAUUAUGUGGCACAAGCUGCUCAUAAAAUAACCUUUUUGCUGAUGAAAAUAGUACAAAAGAUGCACAUGCUGAGUCUCCUAUAAAUUGGUAUAAGUCUUCAUUAGAAUGAUCAGUAAUUUAAAAACAAUACUUAAUUCAAUACACCUAAAAGUGCAAAGAACAAAGUAGAAACAAAUAAUCAAGGAAGAGAACUCCUAGGAGAAAACACUUAUUUUGAGGGAAUCACAAGGGAACUACAAUAACAAGAACAGAUAACAAAUUUCUACCUAGACUAUUCCCUCCAUAUCAUAGUAAGGCUAGUGACUCCAUGAGAUUGUAUUCUAUAUAAACCCUUUGCAAAAAUAUGAAAAAAUGUUCAAAAUAACCACGUCGACAUCACAUGCACACACAUAGACAGUGAAAAACUCACCUCACUAUCCAAACACCUUUAGAAAGAAUAGAAUGGCCACUGGAGCAGCUGCAAUGAUGCUUCAGUGUGUCUUUGACGGAAGCUUGUCCAUGUCAGAUAUGGAUAUCGAGAGAUGACCUUGCCAUAAAAACUGCAGUUGUGCAUUGCACAAACAGAAGGGCCGGGGAUAUAUCACAGCCAAGCACUUGUGUCCAUAGUAGGAAUAUAUCAUUCCCCAAAAGGCAAAUCUGGAAAGAUAUGAUUUUGUCAAUAGAAACUCCCAAAUUCACUUCUCCAUCUUCAUCGUCUUGAGAUAAUUAAUCAGUUGGGAGUGUACAGCAUACAGCUCCAAUGUUAGCUAGUAGUUGAUAGAUUUUCCUUUGUACAUUCUGGUAAGUACAUGUAUACUUCAGUAUCCGCUUCAUAGGUGAUGCAAAUUUACAAAAGAAAGAAAUGCAACUUGUUUUCUUUCUUUCCAGGAUUCAAAAGAUUUUAACUUUAGCGAACACUGAGAAUGCAGCAUUUGAAUUCACAUUGUACACGUUCGUUAGUAGAAUUAGUUUUUGUUCACUAACAGAGUUUGUACACUGAUUCUAAACUUACCAUCACUUCAUCUUUCACAUUCUUUUCUUCUGUCCUGUUAGGCUCCCAUAGUCCCCGAAAUUAGUCCACUGGUUUGUUAUUUACACUUCUCUCAUCCUCAUUGUUUAACAAAUUCUGUUCCUCGUAGUCUAUUAAAUUUCGUUAUUUCACUAAGACAAAUGGUUUGUUCAUAGUUCAUUCUGCGUCAUCAGUAAAGUCAAAGGGAAUAAUGUCGGAAUGGCCUACUUCUAUGUCUUUUCUGAACUUACAUUGCCAUUCACAAUAUACAAGGAAAUACUUUGUAAGCCUUUUCUAAAUCAUCUGUCACUUUCACCAGAUCUGUUUACUACUCAUCCAAAUGGAUUUGUAACGUGUUUUCAACUGCUCUUUAAAUAUAUGCAAGGGUUAAUACCAAAAGCAUCCAAGAUAGAGAAAUCAAAAAAGCAACUCAGUGCACUAAGCUUCUACUGAGUAGGGUCACAGUCUUACCUUGCAUUUCUGCAAAGAGGUUAUCUCCACAGCUCGAACCCAUGACCUCACAUAGCAGUAACUUUACCAAUUACGCCAAGCUCCCCUUCUCAAGAUGGAAAAGCUAUGUCAAUAUUUGCACAAAAGUCUUAUCAUUCAGGGUCUACAGCCAUCAAUAAUGCAGUUGAACUUGUAUGGAAACCCCACCACUUGAAGGGCCAGAGAAGGUUUGUAAUUUUGGUAUAUUUUGUAUAUCUUUAGUUUAAGACCGCAAGAUUCAAAAGUCUUCUUUAAUUUCUUGAAUUUCGUGCCAAAUCAAAACCAGACAAACAAAUUGAAACGGAGGGAGUAUUACCUUAAUUUGAAAAGUGAAUCUACAGAAAUUGAGUAGAGGGAAUUCCAAGGUCAACACCAGCUCCACUUGCUUAUGAAAACAGUACAAAAGAAUCUGCACUUGCUGAGAUUCCUAUAAAUUUGUAUCAAGCUUGAUUAUAAUAAUCAGUAAUUUUGGAAUACUGAUAUACACAAUUGUUUAGCCUAUGCUUACUUUAAUCUUUUCAUUUAUCUUUCUUUUUUCGAGGGUAACUAACACAUCGAAGUACUAAGAACAAAAGCAUAUUAGAGAAGUUCCCAAAUGAAAAACAAUACUCAAUUCAAGACACCUACAAGUACAAAGUACAAAGUAGAAACCCGUAAUCAAGGAAGAGAACUCCUAGUAGAAUACACUUAUUUUGAGGAAAUCACAAGAGAACUACAAUAACAAGAACAUAUUAGUACUUCCAAAUUCAAGAUAUGAUUUUGUCAAUAGAAGCUUCCAAAUUCACAUCUUCAUUGUCUCGAGAUAACUAAUCAGUCAGGACUCAGGAGUGUAGUACAGCAUACAGCUCCAAUGUUAGCAAGUAGUUGAUAGAUUUUCCUUUGUACAUUCUGGUAAUACUUCAGUAUCCACUUCAUAGGUGUUGUAAAUUUACAAAAGAAAAAGGAAAUGCAACAAUUCUUACUCUUCAUGAUUUCUAUGAGCAAAUGCUCCUUAUUUUCUUACUUUACGUAAACACUGUGAAUACAGCAUUUGAAUUCUGAAAUUGAUCACAUUGUACACGUUCGUUAAGUAGAAUUAGUUUUAGUUCACGAACAGAGUUUGUACGCUGAUUCUAGACUUUUAUUUUCCCUUUGUAUCUGUUAAUAGGUAUAACUUGCUAUUUCCACUUCUCAUCCUCAUAGUCUAUC
rnacentral:lncRNA from 1 species